rnacentral:rRNA from 1 species
AGUGAACGCUGGCGGCGUGCCUAAUACAUGCAAGUCGAACGAAGUGGCGCACGGGUGAGUAAUAUAUAGUUAAUCUGCCCUACACAGAGGAACAACAGUUGGAAACGACUGCUAAUACCUCAUAGUGUAGGAUGAGACUAUAUCGUAUCAGCUAGUUGGUAAGGUAAUGGCUUAGAAAGGCUAUGACGCGUAACUGGUCUGCGAGGAGGAUCAGUGACAGUGGAAGUGAGGCACGGUCGAAAAACCUAGGGGAGGGAGCAGUAAGGAAUAGUGCAAAAUUGGGGAAACCCUGAAGGAGAAAGGGCGGAAGGAGGAUGACACUUUUCGGAGCGUAAACUCCUUUGAUCAGGAAAGGGGUACCUGAUGAAUAAGCACCGGCUAAAACCGUGCAAGCAGCGGCGGUAAUA